AAAUAAGUUUUUAAAAAUCAGUGCAUCUGAACUAAUAUAUUUUGACAGCUCAAAUUUGCAGACCUCAUACCUCUGAACUGUCCCCCAGGGUUUGGUCAUUGGUCCUCUACUUUUUGUCCUCUAUACCACUCCUCUUGGUUCUGUCACCUCCUCCCAUGGCCCGCCUGGCCUGUCUAUGCAGAUGACACAAGUCUUCCUCUUCUUCCUCCCAUGUAAUACACUGGGCUCAGUGUCUAUAGGAGCUUGUCUACAAGACGUCUUGAGUCGGAUGUCAAAAUCUCACCAGAAGCUGAAGUUGGCUAAAAUAUAAUAAUUUAAAAACCUCCUUUCAGCCAGCUGGAUUGACACCGUUUGACACCGUUUGACACUCUUCAUCUGCUGGAAAGUGAUACAGGAGAACAAACUGUCCCAUUCUGAGAUCAGCAAAGCAGUGUGCAGGCAUGCAGAUUCUUCCUGUACAACAUCCGGAGAAUGUGUUUCCUUUCCUCACCACCUACACAACCCAGCUCUUAGCCCAGGGCCAGAUGCUUUUACUCCAGCCUCUUUCCGUUGCUGUUUGUUUCAGUUCUCACAAUGUGUCUGUCAUCAACUGCUGUUGUUUUCCUUGGUCGACCUGUACACCCGUGGAUUCUUUAUUUUUCAUGACAUUCCAUGUUGUCGUAUAAGCUAUCCCCAAUGCUUGUGCAAUGGCUCUGAUAGAUUUCCCCUCUUUCCUAAGCUUCAAAAUGGCUUAACAGGAAAAACCUAAGACUAAAACCAAGAGUAGACAUUCAUAACUAUUUAUUGUUCAAUCAGUCAAUCUAACAGGACACAUCUGGGCAACAAGAAACACCUGUCAGUCACAUGUUCCAAUACUUUUGCUCACCUAAAAAUUGGGCGGUCUGAUACAAAAAGUGAGAUGUUUUAAGUUGUUUAACAAAUCUAGAUAAAAAUACCAGGAAAUAAAAGCUGACAUUUGUACCGGUCAUCUCAUCUUUUGACUCAAUUGUCGUCAGUACAUAGCAAAAACUUUGUAAAAACAAAGACCUUUUGGAGGAGACUCUAUAUAGUUAUGUAUACAGCAUAGUUCAACGUUAAAUAUGCACCCUAUAGUCUAUGUUAUGAAAAUAAACAGUGCAAUUUUGGAUCACAAUACAUUUUAUAGAGAACCAUGAUAGGUUUGAGCCUUUUAGUUUAGAUUUAUCAUUGUUAUGAUCGUGGAUUCUGUCUGUUAGUUUAUUUUGUAUUUUUGUAAAUUUAUUAUUUUUCUUAUUCUGGUUUUCUAUUUACAUUCACAGUUUAUUGCACUCAUCUUCCCCUGUGAUGUCUGUGUCUCCAUGUAGCUCUCAGCUACCCUGUCUGCGUGAUUCACUAUUUGGGCGUUUUCUGAAUUUUCCAGUUUCCCACUAUUCCUUCUCAGUCACGCUUUGGCAAGCACUUCCUGCUUUCUCUCCAUUCAUGUUUGUAGAUAGCACUAAUCUACUAAUAACAACUAACAUAUAUUUUGAGCAGUACUAAUUAUAUUAACACACUAAUUGUCUAACUAAUUAACAGUCACUAGUUUUGGGUAAUUAUAAUUUAAUCACGUAAACUAACAGACUAUUACAGUGAGUGUAAAUCCCAGGAGAUCAGCACUUUCUGAGAUACUCAAAUCAUCCUCUCUGUGGCGUAGUGGUUAAGGUAAAUGACUGGGAUCUGCAAGGUCGAUGGUUCUAAUCCCGGUGUAACCACAAUAAGAUCCGCACAGCCGUUGGGCCCUUGAUCAAGGCCCUUAACCCUGCAUUGCUCCAGGGGAGGAUUGUCACCUGCUUAGUCUAAUCAAUUGUAUGUUGCUCUAGAUAAGAGCGUCUGCCAAAUGCCAAUAAUGUAAUGUAAUAGCAUUCCAUGGUCAAAGUCACUUAGAUCACAUUUUUUCCCCAUUCUGAUGGUUGAUGUGAACAUUAACUGAAGCUCCUGACCUAUAUCCUGACCCUGACCCGUAUCUACCCGUAUCAAACAGCAGGGGGAAUCAGGCACAAGGCAGGGCAAACAGCAGGGGGAAUCAGGCACAAGGCAGGGCAAACAGCAGGGGGGAUCAGGCACAAGGCAGGGCAAACAGCAGGGGGAAUCAGGCACAAGGCAGGGCAAACAGCAGGGGGAAUCAGGCACAAGGCAGGGCAAACAGCAGGGGGAAUCAGGCACAAGGCAGGGAAAACAGCAGGGGGAAUUAGGGAAGAUGCUCCAGUGAUCUUACGACCCAUUGUGAUGAUUUUGUUUAUUUGAUUUUUGUUUUAGAGAGAGAGGCCAGCCCCCCAAUACUGUAUAUUACAUUAAUGGCAUUUAUAUACAAUGGUAUAUACAACAUGAAGAUACUUUGAAUGAAGGUUUUUAUUUAAAAAAAGAGAGCAUGGUUUUAUCACAUUUAAAUUUCCUCAGUAGUGUAGGGGAAUCUCGCACGGGACUCCAAAUUAUGUUGGGUCCUCGCACGGGCCGCCAAAUAACGCAGGGAUUUUACUCUCUACGAAACCGGGGCGCCAGUUAAACGUUGUGUUGCAGUAUAACUGCGAAAAGUAAUCAGUCUCAUAAAAUUACUGUUAUCAGAAAUAUCCAACCACAAAUAUAGUAUUUUAAUUAAUUAAAAUAACCAAUAUUAAUGAUUGAACAUACCGAUAACCUGAAGGUUGGAAGUUCUUCGAAAGACUGCUUUAACUCGGCUCUCAUGUCUAUGCGAUUCCAAAACGGACACCGGGGUUUAAUAAAAUAUAUUUAUUAAACAAACAUACAAACACAUAACAGAUAAACUAACGGGAAGUUAGUAAGGAAAUUUAGUAGGUUAAGUUAGGGCGUGUAUGUGUGUGUGGGCGCGCGCGAGCGCGCGUGUCGCUUGAAGGAAAGGUAAGGUAAAAGUCGGAGUAGCUAGCUUGAGUAAGCUAGAGUUCUGGGUGUGGUAAUGAGUUAGAGUUAGCUUGCGUAGUUUUACUCUAUGCAUGCGCAAAAGACGGCGAAUCAAUUCAGGUACAUAUAUAUGUAGCUAACCAAACACAUUACAAUGGUUGGAUGGUAAAUAUUGAAACACAGGUUCACAAAAACAGUUAAGACUAAACUAAACACUGGCUAUGCCUGAAUGUUUGUUUUCUUACUGAGUCCAUACGCAUUGCUGGAUCCAAAAGACAUGCUGUCCUUGUAGAAGCGGCGAUGGUGCUGUGAAUGGUGUCCGGGAGAGAUGCGCAGGCUGGGGUGUUCCCGUCUUAGCAGCGCGUUGUCGUCUGAUCCGCUGGUCUUUUCCAGGUGUAAAAGUUCGUUGCUGUUGUUCGAUGGUGAGUUUUGCAGGAGUAAACUGAUGUAGUGUUCCGCGUACACCAGUUUCCACUCGCUAUAGGCCACGAAGUUACCGCAAGGUAACUGGGUGUGUCGGUAGGCCUGGUAGUGCGCUGUGCAGCAUUCAGCCUCUGUCCGAGUCUCGGAGCAGAUGAGCUGAAGCGAAUGGCCAAAAAGGGUGCGUCCAAGAGAAGAAGCAGAAGAGGCAGAAGAAGCAGAUCCCAAGAACGUGUCUUGCUCUUAUGCGGGACCGUUUAUUGCUCCCGCCAUUACGGGAUUGGCUGAACCAAGUUAGACGUCAUUCGUGGUGGACGUCGCAGAAUUUUCCUGUGGGAAUGUGGAAGUUGUAGUCCCUACAGUAGCCUUAAAAAAUAGUCUUUGUUGUGCUUUGGAGUAUCUAUACUCCAACUAUGUGUGCAAGGAGAUGAACGUUGCAAGGCACAACAGAAUUGUUGAUUUAUUAGUUAAAGGUACAGUAGGUAAUUUUGGACUAACAGUCAAGAGAGGAAUUGCAGCAACAAACACCAUCAAACUACAACACUGUUUAUCCUUCCUACGGUCUAUUGUUGAAGUUUGAUCAAAAUGCUUUUAUUAAAACUAUGAGUGUUUACAAUAAUGAUGAAGUUUGAUUUAAAUGCUGUUUAGUACUUCAAUGAUAAUGUAAACAAGUCAUAAUGUUUAAAGGAUAAUUUUAAUACUAUUAAAAUGAAUAAGUCAGCAUGA